AAAUAAAUUAAUAAGUCUUCUUAUGAGAAAAUGUUUGAAGCUGGGGUGGUGAGGUUUAUUCCACUUAACAUUUGGUACUGCACUAUUGGAAGCACUUUAUAUUUUCAUGUCGGUUUGGAGUUGCUGGUGAACUACACGGAGGCAUUUUUAAAGAAGAAGUGCUUGGCAUAUACAGAGUGCAGAGUGUGUUUGACCCUUGCAGGGUCUUUAUAGGGGCCAUUGGAGAUCAAUGUGGCACCAUCUGUUGAUGUGAAUCACUUUGAGCUUGAGCGUGUUUGACCCUAUCAGGGUCUAAAAAGGAGGUGAGCGUCCAUUGCACCUGGAGAAGUGAGCACUUAUCCAGGAGAGCCAUUUUGAUUUGUGAAACCUUUGAUUUACGAACCUGGAUACCAGGGUGUUGGUGUCCAGGUUCGUAUUAUACUAUUCAAUAUGACCUGUGUAUCACCAUGCUCCUGAAGAAUCGUUACGAUACGCGAAACAUGUAGAGCAAAGCAAGAAAAUUCUUCUGCAUAUCGGACCCAUAUUUAAGGCUAUUCACUCCAUAUUUAUAUUGUCCAACCAUUGUUGUUUGCUGGUUGUGUAUUUCUCUUAUUUGAGUGUACUAAUAUUAUUAUAGUUUUUGGAUGUGAUAUUGGAGCAUUAUCUUGGGCCGUGUACUGACUAUUAUUAUGUAAAAAAUACUUUUUGAUUGUAUUACUGCAUUUUAUAGAAUUCUAUAAUAAUAAAAAACCUCUAGAUUUUUACAUGAACUACCCA